ACGAAUACUUUCGGGAAAGUACUUGUCGUUGAAUAGCUCUUGGAACUUUUUCCAAGACAUCUUGAAUGCGUCAGGCUGGGUACGUUUUACAGAUUCCCACCAGUAAUCUGCCUCUUCACGCAACAUGAAGGUGGCGAAGGGAACCUUUUGCUCCUCGGAGCAUCCCAAGACAUCAAAUAUCUUGGUGAUCUGCUUUAUCCAC
rnacentral:lncRNA from 1 species